GGAUUGUAGAUCAGUGGUAGAGUACUUGCCUAGCAUGUAUGAGGCCCUGGGUUCGAUUCUCAGCACCA
rnacentral:tRNA from 1 species